GAUGGCAUGUCUGAAAAUCUUGCCACGGACAAUUUAGAUGGAACUGCAGAAUCUUCUAUUUUUGAGUACCUAUACAUUAUUAUAUUACAAACACGUAAUAGAUAUUAUAAUAUUGUUUUCUGAAAAUAAUAGUAACGUUUUAGUGAGUCAAAAGUAACUUUUCACGUCGAAGAUACAUGUAACGAUACAUCUUUUAUUUUGAGCUUACCGUCAACGUCGAAGUGAAUUGACUAAUUAAUUUAAUUCAAAUUAAAAUGAAAUAUUUAAUCAAAACAAAUUUACUUAUUUUUUAGUAAACAUGAAACACAAGUAGUACAAUCGAAUAACGGAACAUUAGAUAUUAAAGUUUCUAUAAUCGGUAUACUAAAUGAUGUAGAAGUUUCAAACAUAAUUGAAAAUUGCACUAAAGCUGUAUGUACAAGUGUCGUUGAAACUGAUCAGACCUUAACAAGUUCAUUUUCAUCGGAGUCAGAAGAAGAAAAUGUCGGCAAUGAAAAAUCAACACUAGAAGAAUGUUCAAUUGUAUAUUUUUCAGGAUACCUGCUUUACAGGUAUUUGAAUCUUUGUUUGAUACCAUACAAAGUGAAAGUGGAAUAGUAAAAAAAAUAAUGAAAAUAAUGGUUGAAAAAUUGGAGAAAAAAAUAUCAAGU